GCACUUAUAAUGGUGUAUUUUUGUUACGUUGUAGGCAAGAUGUUUGGACUUAAUUUUUGGCCCGAGUCUGAAUAUCUGCCACGACAAGAGAUCACAAUCUAAA